AUUGAACGCUGGCGGCAGGCCUAACACAUGCAAGUCGAACGAGUGGCGGACGGGUGAGUCAUGUCUGGGAAACUGCCCGAUGGGGGGGGAUAACUACGGGAACCGGUAGCUAAUACCGCAUACCAUCGGAUGUGCCCAGAUGGGAUUAGCUAGUAGGUGGGGUAACGGCUCACCUAGGCGACGAUCCCUAGCUGGUCUGAGAGGAUGACCGGCACAACGGGAACGGAGACACGGCCCAGACUCCUACGGGAGGCAGCAGUGGGGAAUAUUGGACAAUGGGCGCAAGCCGGAUGCAGCCAUGCCGCGGGUAUGAAGAAGGCCUUCGGGUUGUAAAGUACUUUCAGCGAGGAGGCGUUACUCGCAGAAGAAGCACCGGCUAACUCCGUGCCAGCAGCCGCGGUAAUUC
rnacentral:rRNA from 1 species